UUGGGGGAUGUCAUGGGAGUGUCAUGCCUAGACAAUUAUCAAAAAUCAAAAAUCCGAAUGGGUGCUAGAAGCCAUGAGUCUGGUCAAAUGAGUCUGGUCAAGUUUAAAUUCAGUUUUAAAUUCAAAUUCAUCAAGAUUUUCAUCAAGUCAUUGAAAAGAAUAGAAUGUAUCAGACAGUAGAACGGUGGAGAGAGGGUAGGGGCUGGGUCAAAGGUCUGUAUGCGUGGUUGCGUGCGUGUAUGUAUGUGUGUCUAAGAGAGGGGGAGAGAGAGAGAGGAGGGGGUUUGUUUGACUGUAUGUAUGCUUCAAGUUUUAGUGAUAUGAACCUGAAUAAAAGAAUCAAGGAUGUGAUGAUGCCAAGAGUCUAAAAAGGUUUCAGCCAUGUUUCUGUGAACUAAAAUAAAAAAUAAAUCCUACUUGUAAGUUCAAGUACAAGUAAGGUUCAGCGUCAUGCAUGUCUAAUGCCAUGGCUCCAGGGCCCUGAGGGGGUAGGUGGCGUGCAUGCUUGAGAGUGAGAAAGAGAGAAGUUGGAAUGUUUAGUUAUGUUUAUGUUUUUAGGAUGAUUAAACUGAAUGUGAAUGAACUGAAUGAUCUGAUCCUGUCAAGAACCUUCUUUCAUAUAUAUUUCUGUGAGCUAGAAUAAAACAUAUCAUAAAUGUAAUGUUCUGGGUAAGCGUGUCUAAUACCUAAGCUGGUGUGCCUUAUGACUUAGAACAAUGCAUCUUUUUUGCCAAAAUUUGGGAUGGGGGUGCGAAAUGAGGUAUAAAACUCGGACAUAGGCAAAACUGACAUCAUCUAUCACCGUGAAUCGCCAUACAGCAAAGGCAUUUGUGAAGAGAUUCAUCAUGGCAGAGCGACCUGACCAGGCAAGUAUGUAAAUUGUAGUUUUUCAUUUUUCUACUAUAUCGUUGCAUUAUCCCUGAUUUAAUACAUGUUUUUUUUGUUUGUGUUGUUAGUAUGAGUUGGAAUAUCUACGUUUCCUGCAAAUCUGAAGUACCUCAUCUGACAGCGGCCUUGGCACUGACAACUACAGCCCGGCAUCUCCGAGCCAAAGCUUUUAAUCCGAAAAUUCCGAGGUUGUCCAGAGGGGUCGGGCGAAUUCUCCAAGCCUGAGCUUGUACCAAGACUCUGAUGCAGAGCUGUACCGACCAACUUCCCCUCACGAAAGUAUGCACGAAG